rnacentral:rRNA from 1 species
UACGUAGGGUGCGAGCGUUGUCCGGAAUUAUUGGGCGUAAAGGGCUCGUAGGCGGUCUGUCGCGUCGAAUGUGAAAACCCGGGGCUCAACUCCGGGCUUGCAUUCGAUACGGGCAGGCUAGAGUUCGGUAGGGGAGUCUGGAAUUCCUGGUGUAGCGGUGAAAUGCGCAGAUAUCAGGAGGAACACCGGUGGCGAAGGCGGGACUCUGGGCCGAUACUGACGCUGAGGAGCGAAAGCGUGGGGAGCGAACAGG